rnacentral:rRNA from 1 species
UACGGGGGGGGUAAGCGUUGUUCGGAAUUACUGGGCGUAAAGGGCUCGUAGGCGGCCAACUAAGUCAGACGUGAAAUCCCUCAGCUUAACUGGGGAACUGCGUCUGAUACUGGAUGGCUUGGAUUCGGGAGAGGAAUGCGGAAUUCCAGGUGUAGCGGUGAAAUGCGUAGAUAUCUGGAGGAACACCGGUGGCGAAGGCGGCAUUCUGGACCGACAUUGACGCUGAGGAGCGAAAGCUAGGGGAGCAAACGGG